CCAUCCAUGAAUGGCGCCGGUCCAAUGCUCAGGGUGGCAUGUGGCAAUGUCGGGGACCAGCGAGGAAGAUGACCGGUGUACAUCCUUUGGAAUAAAAUUGAAGACAUGGUGAGUCUUGUGGCGCGAAGCCAACAACACGCAGCGGCAAGUGAGCAC